rnacentral:rRNA from 1 species
AAAUUGAAGAGUUUGAUCAUGGCUCAGAUUGAACGCUGGCGGCAGGCCUAACACAUGCAAGUCGAACGGUAACAGGAAGCAGCUUGCUGCUUCGCUGACGAGUGGCGGACGGGUGAGUAAUGUCUGGGAAACUGCCUGAUGGAGGGGGAUAACUACUGGAAACGGUGGCUAAUACCGCAUAACGUCGCAAGACCAAAGAGGGGGACCUUCGGGCCUCUUGCCAUCAGAUGUGCCCAGAUGGGAUUAGCUUGUUGGUGAGGUAACGGCUCACCAAGGCGACGAUCCCUAGCUGGUCUGAGAGGAUGACCAGCCACACUGGAACUGAGACACGGUCCAGACUCCUACGGGAGGCAGCAGUGGGGAAUAUUGCACAAUGGGCGCAAGCCUGAUGCAGCCAUGCCGCGUGUAUGAAGAAGGCCUUCGGGUUGUAAAGUACUUUCAGCGGGGAGGAAGGUGUUGCGGUUAAUAACCGCAGCAAUUGACGUUACCCGCAGAAGAAGCACCGGCUAACUCCGUGCCAGCAGCCGCGGUAAUACGGAGGGUGCAAGCGUUAAUCGGAAUUACUGGGCGUAAAGCGCACGCAGGCGGUCUGUCAAGUCGGAUGUGAAAUCCCCGGGCUCAACCUGGGAACUGCAUUCGAAACUGGCAGGCUUGAGUCUUGUAGAGGGGGGUAGAAUUCCAGGUGUAGCGGUGAAAUGCGUAGAGAUCUGGAGGAAUACCGGUGGCGAAGGCGGCCCCCUGGACAAAGACUGACGCUCAGGUGCGAAAGCGUGGGGAGCAAACAGGAUUAGAUACCCUGGUAGUCCACGCCGUAAACGAUGUCUACUUGGAGGUUGUGCCCUUGAGGCGUGGCUUCCGGAGCUAACGCGUUAAGUAGACCGCCUGGGGAGUACGGCCGCAAGGUUAAAACUCAAAUGAAUUGACGGGGGCCCGCACAAGCGGUGGAGCAUGUGGUUUAAUUCGAUGCAACGCGAAGAACCUUACCUGGUCUUGACAUCCACGGAAGUUUUCAGAGAUGAGAAUGUGCCUUCGGGAACCGUGAGACAGGUGCUGCAUGGCUGUCGUCAGCUCGUGUUGUGAAAUGUUGGGUUAAGUCCCGCAACGAGCGCAACCCUUAUCCUUUGUUGCCAGCGAUUAGGUCGGGAACUCAAAGGAGACUGCCAGUGAUAAACUGGAGGAAGGUGGGGAUGACGUCAAGUCAUCAUGGCCCUUACGACCAGGGCUACACACGUGCUACAAUGGCGCAUACAAAGAGAAGCGACCUCGCGAGAGCAAGCGGACCUCAUAAAGUGCGUCGUAGUCCGGAUUGGAGUCUGCAACUCGACUCCAUGAAGUCGGAAUCGCUAGUAAUCGUGGAUCAGAAUGCCACGGUGAAUACGUUCCCGGGCCUUGUACACACCGCCCGUCACACCAUGGGAGUGGGUUGCAAAAGAAGUAGGUAGCUUAACCUUCGGGAGGGCGCUUACCACUUUGUGAUUCAUGACUGGGGUGAAGUCGUAACAAGGUAACCGUAGGGGAACCUGC